rnacentral:rRNA from 1 species
UACAGAGGUCCCGAGCGUUGUUCGGAUUCACUGGGCGUAAAGGGUGCGCAGGUGGGUAGGCAAGUUUGAUGUGAAAGCCCCGGGCUUAACCCGGGAAUGGCAUUGAAUACUGCUGAUCUGGAGGAUCGGAGGGGGGACUGGAAUUCUUGGUGUAGCAGUGAAAUGCGUAGAUAUGCGGAGGAACACCGAUGGCGAAGGCAAUCCCCUGGGCCUGCACUGACGCUCAUGCACGAAAGCGUGGGGAGCAAACAGG